rnacentral:rRNA from 1 species
GUAGGUGGCAAGCGUUGUCCGGAAUUAUUGGGCGUAAAGCGCGCGCAGGCGGUUCUUUAAGUCUGAUGUGAAAGCCCACGGCUCAACCGUGGAGGGUCAUUGGAAACUGGAGAACUUGAGUACAGAAGAGGAAAGCGGAAUUCCACGUGUAGCGGUGAAAUGCGUAGAGAUGUGGAGGAACACCAGCGGCGAAGGCGGCUUUCUGGUCUGUAACUGACGCUGAGGCGCGAAAGCGUGGGGAGCAAACAGGAUUAGAUACCCUGGUAGUCCACGCCGUAAACGAUGAGUGCUAAGUGUUAGGGGGGUUUCCGCCCCCCUUAGUGCUGCAGCUAACGCAUUAAGCACUCCGCCCUGGGAGUACGGCCGCAAGGCUG